GGGGAUUUAGCUCAGCGGCAUGAGCACCUGCCUUGCAAGCACACAGUUGUGAGUUCAAUCCCCG
rfam:Cavia porcellus supercont2_32 genomic scaffold, whole genome shotgun sequence.